rnacentral:rRNA from 1 species
GUGCCAGCCGCCGCGGUAAUACGUAGGGCGCAAGCGUUGUCCGGAAUUAUUGGGCGUAAAGAGCUCGUAGGCGGUUUGUCGCGUCUGCUGUGAAAACGCAAGGCUUAACCUUGCGCCUGCAGUGGGUACGGGCAGACUAGAGUGCGGUAGGGGAGACUGGAAUUCCUGGUGUAGCGGUGGAAUGCGCAGAUAUCAGGAGGAACACCGAUGGCGAAGGCAGGUCUCUGGGCCGUUACUGACGCUGAGGAGCGAAAGCAUGGGGAGCGAACAGGAUUAGAUA